AGGUAGAGCUCUCCUUCUUCCUGAUCAGCCUCUUUUAAGUCCGUGUAUAUUUUGGGUCCGUGUAUAUUUUGGCAAUUGGAUUUUCCUUUCUGAAAUGGAGUGAAAGUAGCAGUUCCUCCUGAAGGUCAGAGAUUGCAGCAUCUGAGGGCCUCUUCAAAAGAAGAUGUAGUUGAUGAAGACGUUCUGGAGCAGGACCAGAAAGACCACGACCAAGCAGCCUUGAGAUCUUAGACAGCGUCUCCCUCAGGUCCCUCUCUAUCUCCCUACACAUCCACCAACCACUGGAACACAUCUCCAAAGUUCUGCUGGGCCAGCUCAGCUUCCCCUCAGAAGAAGUGCUGCCACCUGCCAGAUGAAGGAGCCUUUUGAGAGGCAGCUGGCAUCGUGAUUGGACUGUACUUUGGUCUGUUCCAAUCCAGCUUCAGCUCCAGAGACGGCAGGCGGGACGAGUCAACGGAGGCCGGGUGGAUGAAGACAUGCAGCUGAGUACAAUCCAGAAAACAACAGAGGAGGAGUGCAGCAGCCCAGAGCCAGAACAACCAGAGUAGCAUCACCAAAGAACUACAGACUCUUCACAACCUGCUCAAACUCUUGGUACAGGACCUCACCACACGGAUCAAGAAGGUUUCUGUCUCAUUUCUACUCUGAAGCUCACCUUCUCCUGCUCAAACUGCUGACAAAUGUUUCUGCUGCUCUAAAGUCUGGCCUCCAGAACUUCCUAAAAACUCUCAAAGUCUCUUCUGCUGUAAGUUGCUUUGUAGAACUGUUCCAGAAAACCUCACUAAACCACAUGGAGGAGCCUCAAGAUAGUCGUCCAAAUGAAACCAUACAAAAACCAAACUAGCACAACCCAAACGCUAAAGUCUCCUGCAGCCUACCAGAGAACCUCUGAGAACAGAGAAUCAGGACAGGAACUCUUACCUUCUGGACAACCAACGUGGGUUCUCAAACAAGAAUACAGAAUGUGUCUGACCAAAAACCUCUAAAGACUCACUACAGCCAAGAUAAAGACACAACUCACCUGCACCAAAUCCACUAAUCACUGCACACAUUAGCACCAUGUGCUAACUGUGGCUAAAGAACCACAUUUACCAAGACAACUAUCCAGUACAAAGCCCUAAAACACACCAAGAAACACAUUAAACAUGAUUUUACUGCUGGAAGCUGCAAGCCAACGCCUAAAGAACAAACUACAGCAACAGAACCAAACCCGGUUCACUGGUGAAGAGAAACAGAGGAAAUGUUUGUCUGCAGCUAAAUAAAGCAGGAAGACACUGAGCUGCUCAGGUGUUCCUGAUAACACCAAGCAGCCACCUGGACAGCCAAUAGGAACACAGCUUCCUGGAAGUCCAGAGGGCUGGUUUAGUCAAGGAAAUUUAAAGUUGAGGCAGAAAGUUAACAAAGAAAGUUGAAAACCACCUUCUGAUCCCUGAAAUCUCUGAGUUUUCACACAGAGAACACCUGAACAUGUCAAACUGGUUCCAUAGUAGAACCAUCAUUGUAAAAACAUCAUAGUAUGGUGUGUUGCUCAAAAAACAUUAGGACCCGGCUGUCUAGGGUUGCAGAGGAGCAACACAAAAACAGGACAAACGCUGGUUUCCAGGGGGUUAGGAGGCUAUUUAUUUGAAAGAACUGGAAACUCCACUUCAGUGAUCAUCAUGCAGGUAGGUGGGGCCGUCUCUGAUGUUGUCUCUGUUUGUUUCCUCACUGAGGAGGCCAUGGUCGGACAGGAAGCAGCAGCAGUC
ensembl:lncRNA